GAACAAGUCUUAAAAAAGAGCUUAACAUUUACAUUUAGGUGGUUUGACGUGAUGAACUGUUGUGCAAAAUUUUACAUUCGAACUAUGAAUGACAGCAGAAUUAAAUUUUUACAAUCAUUUUUUAACCAAUUGCUAAUGUGGAAGAAUGACGUACAUCAGAACCAUGUAGGGGAAGAUAAACGUUUACUUGCGACACCUACCCUAAUUGGUCUUAUAUUCACAACAACAAAUUACAUUGAGUUAUGCCGCCAGUUGCUCCUGAGGGAGGACAUUCAAUAUGUUUGCUUGAAAACUUUUACGCAGGACAAUUUGGACGCAUUUUUUGGCAAUCCGCGACAACUUGGAAGAAGAUCACAAAAUCCAGAUAUUUUUCAAGCUUCAUUUGGAAUUCAACACAUAACACAAAUAAUUAAACACAUUAAAGGGGGAAAUACCACAUUUGGCAACAAAAAUGCUUGGACAUCAGUAUCAGAUGAGCCACUGCCAAAAAAGACUCGGAAAUCUGACUAAAAAGUGAGCAGAUAAAAAUAAUUACUUUUUUCUUAGCUCACCCCGAAGACCCCUUGAUUGUUUGUUAAAACCCACAUACAUUUUUUCAAAUAAUUUUUUGGCAAAAGCAUGUGACAGAAGCCUAACAAAUAAUUUAACAAUAUAAUGAACUAUUUUUAGAAUCCUAGUUGGUUCUACCUCUGUUAUCUCCUGGAUUAGUGUUUGAAAGUUGCUGCAGUUUACUCCAGACAGAACUUCAUCCAAAACACUAUUAAAGUUGAUUUGUGUGGGCAAUUUUUUUGUUUGUUUUGUAAUUUUUAAAUGGACAUGCUGCAAAAACAAAAGAAAUUCAUCAGAUGGGUACUUCAGGCACCCAGAAUAUUUUUCCAUGGAUUUUAUAAGCUAUCCAUGUGGUAAUUGUUGGCUAAGACACUCAAUAACUUCAGGCAUGUCUGGAAAUUUUAAUGUUGUUUUUCUGAUAAUAUAACCACCUAUAUAUUCCAGUGUAUCAUUUUCAAACGCCUGAAUUUGACCAUAGGAUGGUGCUGGCACUGGCUCAUUCUUUUUCAUUACAUCUUUAACAAUAACCAAGAGAUUUUCUGCUGCUUUUGAUUUUGUUAGAUUUUCUAAAAAAUAUAUUUUGGCAUCCA